UACGAAGGGGGCUAGCAUUGCUCGGAAUCACUGGGCGUAAAGGGUGCGUAGGCGGGUCUUUAAGUCAGGGGUGAAAUCCUGGAGCUCAACUCCAGAACUGCCUUUGAUACUGAGGAUCUUGAGUACGGGAGAGGUGAGUGGAACUGCGAGUGUAGAGGUGAAAUUCGUAGAUAUUCGCAAGAACACCAGUGGCGAAGGCGGCUCACUGGCCCGUAACUGACGCUGAGGCACGAAAGCGUGGGGAGC
rnacentral:rRNA from 1 species